UUGGAGGGCAAGUCUGGUGCCAGCAGCCGCGGUAAUUCCAGCUCCAAUAGCGUAUAUUAAAGUUGUUGCAGUUAAAAAGCUCGUAGUUGAAUUUCGGGAUCAAUAUUUCGGUCAUGCCGUUGGUAUGCACUGUUAUCAUUGAUUUCUCACCUUCUAAAGAACCGUAAUGCCAUUAAUUUGGUGUUACGGGGAAUUAGGACUGUUACCUUGAAAAAAUUAGAGUGUUUAAAGCAGGCUCACGCUUGAAUACAUUAGCAUGGAAUAAUGAAAUAGGACAUCCGAGUCUAUUUUGUUGGUUUCUAGGAUCGAUGUAAUGAUUAAUAGGGAUAGUUGGGGGCAUUAGUAUUCAAUUGUCAGAGGUGAAAUUCUUGGAUUUAUUGAAGACUAACUACUGCGAAAGCAUUUGCCAAGGAUGUUUUCAUUAAUCAAGAACGAAAGUUAGGGGAUCGAAGACGAUCAGAUACCGUCGUAGUCUUAACCAUAAACUAUGCCGACUAGGGAUCGGAUGAUGUUAAUUUUUUAAUGACUCAUUCGGCGCCUUACGGGAAAC
rnacentral:rRNA from 1 species